CAGUUUCUCACACCAGAGAGACAAUGUGAUAUUUACACUUGUCCGAUUUAUUUCACUUAAGGGUGUGGUCUCAAGGUGCAUCCAUUUAGCUAGAAAUGUCUCAAGUUUGUCUUUCUUUAUGGCUGAGUAGUACUCCAUUGUAUUAAAAAAACACAUCUUUUUUAUCCAUUCAUUCGUUGAUGGGCAUUUGGGUUGUUUCCAAGAUUUAGCUAUUACAAACUGUCACUCUAAACAUGGGUGUGCAUAUAUUGCUGUGGUAUGAUUCUUUUAAUUCUUUCAGGAAGAUCCCCAGCAGGGGAGUGCCUUUGACUUUUGACUGGGUCCUCCAGCUCUCCAGUGCAUAGACAGCCCUUUUGCAUUCUUCCACCCCUGACUCUGCAGGCAGCCAUUGUAAGCCUACCGUGUCAAUAUCUAGUAUCUAUCAUCUAUCUCAUCUAUUUCUCUAGUGAGCCCUAACUGAUAGUUGGCAUCUUUGGUGGGAAUUUGAUUGGGAUUCUGCUGGAUCUAUAGAUCAAGUUAGAGGAAUUGUCAUAAUAACAAAAAUGAUUGUACGCUUGAAUCAGUCAAUGUUUCUAGAGAAACAGAUAUAACACAAGAUCUAAAAAUAUAUAUGGAUUUACAAGAUUGGCUUAUAAGGGCCAACCAUAGAGUUGGAUGUGGAAGAGCGCAGAGGGUCUUUCUGCAUGCUAGAUACCAAAGGAUUCAGUGGAAGGUCUGGAGCUCACUUCAGUGUCCUGUGUGAGUCUCUAUCAGGAGGCCAAUGGGGUCUGUGAUGGAGGUUUGAAGAGUCUAUGCCGGAAGCCUGAAGGAUCUGCACCAGAAGCUGAAGAAUCUGCACAGGAAGCCAGGAAAUGACAUCCAAGUACUUAUGUUAAAUCAUGUCAUCAGUUCCUGCUGUGUCAGAUCUGCAAGAGGCCCUGUGUACUAGUGAGCAGCCGCCUCUGCUACAUGUUCCCAUUACCACUGUCCUCUGCUUCCACUCAGGAUCAAAGCAACAGAGCCAACUGAUCGUGAUGAAACUCCUGAAACCAUGAGCCAAAAUAAACAUUUCCUCCUGUAGAUUACUUUUCUCAGGUAUAUUACACAGCGACAGAAAGCUAACACAGAUGGAUCAUUUAUAUACUACUAAAAAUGGAAUUAAAUAAGAAAUGUGCCUAAGAAUGUUCAUAAAGCCUUCAGUCAUAAUGACCAAACUAGGAAGUAGCCCAGAUGUCUUUCAAUAGUAAAAUGGGUGAAGAAAUUGAAAUGCAUGCAUACAAUAGAAUACUAUUCAGCACUACAAAAGUCCAAACUUUGUAGUACAUACGCUGUGUGAAUCUCCCAAACUGUUCUGUUUUGUUUUGUUUUCUGGUACCAGGGAUCAAACUCUGGACCUUGUGUUUGCGAGGUAGGCGCUGGAACCAGUGAGCUACAUCCCUGGCCCAGUCUUGCAAACUUUGUAGGGAGGGAGGUGGCUGGGCAAAAAUAAUAUAUAUUGUCUGAUUGUAAGCAAAGGAACCCAUGGUGAGAAGAGUCACAGCAGUAACUCUCAUCUGUGAGCACAAAAAAUGCCAGAAAGGAACACAAGAUAAUUUUCUAGAGAAGAUGAAAGUAUUCUUAAAAGUAGCGAAGAUUUUACGGGUGUAUUUGUUAAAGUGAUACAGUUACAAUUUAUGCGUUUCAAUAUACAUGUGUACUUCUGGGCACAGAAAAAAGAAAAGAACUUUAAAAAUUAAGUUUUGGAGAUAGUGAAUAAGUUGAAGGUUAGAGAAACAAAAACUAGCACAUGGUUAGUAAUUAUUGAAGCUGAGUGACAGGUCUAUUAUUCAAUUUAUUUUAUGUACUUUUAAUAUUUUUUGUAAUAAAACACUUGUAUAAAAAGUCUAAAUUGGCCAGGUGUGGUUGUGCACGCCUGUAAUCCCAGCACUUGGGAGGCUGAAGCAGGAGGAUUGCCACAAGUUUGAGGCCAGCCUGGACUACACAGUGAGUUCAAGGCUAGCCUGAGCUACAUACAAAACAAAAACAACAAAAUCAACUACAAAAAAGUCCAAGUUGAUCUACGAUGUUACCUUGUAGAGAGAAGCUGCUCCAUUUCCUGGUUGUGUAAGUGUGUUCACUUUGUAAUAUUUGCAGUAUUGUACUCUAC
rnacentral:lncRNA from 1 species